UACGGAGGGGGCUAGCGUUGUCCGAAGUUACUGGGCGUAAAGCGUGCGUAGGCGGGUUGGUAAGUCCGCUGUGAAAGCCCGGAGCUCAACUCCGGAGGGUCGGUGGAUACUGCCAGUCUUGAAGGUGCUAGGGGGAGAUGGAAUUACCGGUGUAGCGGUGAAAUGCGUAGAUAUCGGAAGGAACAUCGGUGGCGAAAGCGGCGCGCUGGACCUCUUCUGACGCUGAGGCGCGGAAAGCCAGGGGAGCAAACGGG
rnacentral:rRNA from 1 species